GCAAGUCGAGCGACAAAGGGGCUUCGGCCCUGAGUAGAGCGGCGGACGGGUGCGUAACACGUGGAUAAUCUGCCUCGUGGCGGGGGAUAACAGUCCGAAAGGACUGCUAAUACCGCAUGUCAGGUCGGAAACCCCGGUUUCUGACGAAAAAGAGGGCGCCCGCAAGGGGCUCUCACCACGAGAUGAGUCCGCGGCCCAUCAGCUAGUUGGCGGUGUAAUAGACCACCAAGGCUAAGACGGGUAGCUGGUCUGAGAGGAUGACCAGCCACACUGGGACUGAGACACGGCCCAGACUCCUACGGGAGGCAGCAGUGGGGAAUAUUGGACAAUGGGCGAAAGCCUGAUCCAGCCAUGCCGCGUGAGUGAUGAAGGUCUUCGGAUCGUAAAGCUCUGUGGGAAGGGACGAAAAAGCCUAACCUAAUACGUUAGGUCUUGACGGUACCUUCUUAGCAAGCACCGGCUAACUCCGUGCCAGCAGCCGCGGUAAUACGGAGGGUGCAAACGUUGCUCGGAAUUAUU
rnacentral:rRNA from 1 species